AGAGUUUGAUCCUGGCUCAGGAUGAACGCUAGCUACAGGCUUAACACAUGCAAGUCGAGGGGCAGCAUGGUCUUAGCUUGCUAAGGCUGAUGGCGACCGGCGCACGGGUGAGUAACACGUAUCCAACCUGCCGUCUACUCUUGGCCAGCCUUCUGAAAGGAAGAUUAAUCCAGGAUGGGAUCAUGAGUUCACAUGUCCGCAUGAUUAAAGGUAUUUUCCGGUAGACGAUGUGGAUAGGGGUUCUGAGAGGAAGGUCCCCCACAUUGGAACUGAGACACGGUCCAAACUCCUACGGGAGGCAGCAGUGAGGAAUAUUGGUCAAUGGGCGAUGGCCUGAACCAGCCAAGUAGCGUGAAGGAUGACUGCCCUAUGGGUUGUAAACUUCUUUUAUAAAGGAAUAAAGUCGGGUAUGCAUACCCGUUUGCAUGUACUUUAUGAAUAAGGAUCGGCUAACUCCGUGCCAGCAGCCGCGGUAAUACGGAGGAUCCGAGCGUUAUCCGGAUUUAUUGGGUUUAAAGGGAGCGUAGAUGGAUGUUUAAGUCAGUUGUGAAAGUUUGCGGCUCAACCGUAAAAUUGCAGUUGAUACUGGAUGUCUUGAGUGCAGUUGAGGCAGGCGGAAUUCGUGGUGUAGCGGUGAAAUGCUUAGAUAUCACGAAGAACUCCGAUUGCGAAGGCAGCCUGCUAAGCUGCAACUGACAUUGAGGCUCGAAAGUGUGGGUAUCAAACAGGAUUAGAUACCCUGGUAGUCCACACGGUAAACGAUGAAUACUCGCUGUUUGCGAUAUACGGCAAGCGGCCAAGCGAAAGCCGGUGAAACUCAAAGGAAUUGACGGGGGCCCGCACAAGCGGAGGAACAUGUGGUUUAAUUCGAUGAUACGCGAGGAACCUUACCCGGGCUUAAAUUGCACUCGAAUGAUCCGGAAACGGUUCAGCUAGCAAUAGCGAGUGUGAAGGUGCUGCAUGGUUGUCGUCAGCUCGUGCCGUGAGGUGUCGGCUUAAGUGCCAUAACGAGCGCAACCCUUGUUGUCAGUUACUAACAGGUGAUGCUGAGGACUCUGACAAGACUGCCAUCGUAAGAUGUGAGGAAGGUGGGGAUGACGUCAAAUCAGCACGGCCCUUACGUCCGGGGCUACACACGUGUUACAAUGGGGGGUACAGAGGGCCGCUACCACGCGAGUGGAUGCCAAUCCCUAAAACCCCUCUCAGUUCGGACUGGAGUCUGCAACCCGACUCCACGAAGCUGGAUUCGCUAGUAAUCGCGCAUCAGCCACGGCGCGGUGAAUACGUUCCCGGGCCUUGUACACACCGCCCGUCAAGCCAUGGGAGCCGGGGGUA
rnacentral:rRNA from 1 species